rnacentral:rRNA from 1 species
UUCCUACGGGACGCAGCAGUGAGGAAUAUUGGUCAAUGGCCGGAAGGCUGAACCAGCCAAGUCGCGUGAGGGAAUAAGGCCCUAUGGGUCGUAAACCUCUUUUGUCAGGGAGCAAAGGCGUCCACGAGUGGACGAAAGGAGAGUACCUGAAGAAAAAGCAUCGGCUAACUCCGUGCCAGCAGCCGCGGUAAUACGGAGGAUGCGAGCGUUACCCGGAUUUAUUGGGUUUAAAGGGUGCGUAGGCUGAGUGUCAAGUCAGCGGUAACAUUUCGGGGCUCAACCCCGUCGUGCCGUUGAAACUGACA